ensembl:lncRNA
CUCUUAUGCUGCAUUCCCGUUAAUGGGCUAGUUACUAGUUUGCACUACUGUGAUAUUGAGUACUGUAUUUGAAUGUGUUUUUUUUCUUUGUGUGUUUGUAGGCUAUUUCUGUGUACAGGGUACACAUGGAGACUUUGGAGAAAAGGGAGGCAGAGGGCCGCCAGGCUUUUCAGGGAUUACAGGACGGAAGGGUGAAAAUGGUGAAUGUGGAUGUUCCAACCCUAAGGAUAUGCCUGGUGACUCUGGACCCAAUGGAGCCCCAGGUCCAUCUGGUAACAGAGGACAACCUGGAAAUGCUGGCCUACGGGGUGACAAAGGUUUCAUGGGUGACAUGGGUGGAAUUGGGCCAUAUGGCUUUCAAGGGCUCCAAGGUUUGCCAGGAGUGAAAGGUCAGAAAGGUGAAACCAACGUGACGGAC